rnacentral:rRNA from 1 species
AGUACGACCGCAAGGUUAAAACUCAAAUGAAUUGACGGGGACCCGCACAAGUAGUGGAGCAUGUGGUUUAAUUCGAAGAUACGCGCAGAACCUUACCAACACUUGACAUGUUCGUCGCGACUUUAAGAGAUUAAAGUUUUCGGUUCGGCCGGACGAAACACAGGUGCUGCAUGGCUGUCGUCAGCUCGUGUCGUGAGAUGUUGGGUUAAGUCCCGCAACGAGCGCAACCCUCACUUUUAGUUGCCAUCAUUAAGUUGGGCACUCUGAAAGAACUGCCAGUGAUAAGCUGGAGGAAGGUGGGGAUGACGUCAAGUCCUCAUGGCCCUUACGUGUUGGGCUACACACGUGCUACAAUGGUAUCUACAACAGGAAGCAAGACGGCGACGUUAAGCAAAUCCUUAAAAGAUACCUCAGUUCGGAUUGCACUCUGCAACUCGAGUGCAUGAAGCUGGAAUUACUAGUAAUCGUGGAUCAGCGUGCCACGGUGAAUGCGUUCCCGGGUCUUGUACACACCGCCCGUCACACCAUGGGAGUUGGUUCUACCUUAAGGCAAGGUUUUAAACCCUUGACCACGGUAUAGUCAGCGACUGGGGUGAAGUCGUAACAAGGUAACC